UGGGGAAUAUUGGACAAUGGGCGAAAGCCUGAUCCAGCCAUGCCGCGUGUGUGAAGAAGGCCUUUUGGUUGUAAAGCACUUUAAGCGAGGAGGAGGCUACUUGGAUUAAUACUCUAGGAUAGUGGACGUUACUCGCAGAAUAAGCACCGGCUAACUCUGUGCCAGCAGCCGCGGUAAUACAGAGGGUGCGGGCGUUAAUCGGAUUUACUGGGCGUAAAGCGUGCGUAGGCGGCUUUUAAGUCGGAUGUGAAAUCCCUGAGCUUAACUUAGGAAUUGCAUUCGAUACUGGGAAGCUAGAGUAUGGGAGAGGAUGGUAGAAUUCCAGGUGUAGCGGUGAAAUGCGUAGAGAUCUGGAGGAAUACCGAUGGCGAAGGCAGCCAUCUGGCCUAAUACUGACGCUGAGGUACGAAAGCAUGGGGAGCAAACAGGAUUAGAUACCCUGGUAGUCCAUGCCGUAAACGAUGUCUACUAGCCGUUGGGGCCUUUGAGGCUUUAGUGGCGCAGCUAACGCGAUAAGUAGACCGCCUGGGGAGUACGGUCGCAAGACUAAAACUCAAAGGGAAUUUGACGGGGGUCAUAGCUGUUUCCUG
rnacentral:rRNA from 1 species